rnacentral:lncRNA from 1 species
GGACUUCCCUCCUCUCCCCCCCGCCCCGCCAGGCUCCUGCCAUGUCACCCCGCGUGUCAACACAAAGACUGUCCCACUGCAGCUCUGCUGCCUUCCAGGCAAAGGUUCAGCUCAUUCUCAAGAAAGCUCCAUGGGCCGAGUUCAGUGAAAAUGAGCAGCAGGCACUGCAAACAUUGGGCCAAAGAGGGAAAACCACUGGGAGUUGCUGGCGAUGGUGUGCGGCUACGAAUGCCGGAUCUAGGCUACUUUCAAGCACGUGUCUUCACUUUCCUGGCUUCUUCGGGAAUGUUUGGGGCUCACUGUUUCAGUGUGCAGCACUUCCUGGAGCAGAGAAAGACGCAGAACUGGAGGCUGACUUAGUAACUGUGUGGUGCUGGAAAAGCUUCUCAUUCUCCAGGCUGGUGCUCAGUUCUCCCUGGUGCUAUCAUGCUCUAACUGGGAUUGGCAGAGGUAGCCUGGGUUAUUAAAAUCUGCGUCCACAGAGCUUAGCUCCUUUGGAGAGCUUUUAAAAAUCCGCGUGUUGGGCCCCACCUCCAGAUACUGAUUUAAUUAAAGGAGACGGGGCUCAGGCACCAGUGCUUCUUGUUUUUAACUCAGGUGAUUCUGCUAAGGAGGCAGCUCUGAGAACCAUGGCUCUGGAGAGUUCUCAAACUUGUGUAUUCAUCAAAAAUACCUGGAGGGCUUUUUCCCACCCCAAACUUUCUUAUUCAGUAGGCUUGGGUGUGGGGCAUUUCUG